rnacentral:rRNA from 1 species
UACGUAGGGUGCAAGCGUUGUCCGGAAUUAUUGGGCGUAAAGAGCUCGUAGGCGGUCUGUCGCGUCGGCUGUGAAAACCCGGGGCUCAACCCCGGGCCUGCAGUCGAUACGGGCAGACUAGAGUGCGGUAGGGGAGACUGGAAUUCCUGGUGUAGCGGUGGAAUGCGCAGAUAUCAGGAGGAACACCAAUGGCGAAGGCAGAUCUCUGGGCCGUAACUGACGCUGAGGAGCGAAAGCAUGGGGAGCGAACAGG